rnacentral:rRNA from 1 species
CACGGAGUUAGCCGGUGCUUCUUCUGCGAGUAACGUCAAUGAACAGUGCUAUUAACACUGAACCCUUCCUCCUCGCUGAAAGUGCUUUACAACCCGAAGGCCUUCUUCACACACGCGGCAUGGCUGCAUCAGGCUUGCGCCCAUUGUGCAAUAUUCCCCACUGCUGCCUCCCGUAGGAGUCUGGACCGUGUCUCAGUUCCAGUGUGGCUGGUCAUCCUCUCAGACCAGCUAGGGAUCGUUGCCUAGGUGAGCCAUUACCCCACCUACUAGCUAAUCCCAUCUGGGCACAUCUGAUGGCGUGAGGCCCGAAGGUCCCCCACUUUGGUCCGAAGACGUUAUGCGGUAUUAGCUACCGUUUCCAGUAGUUAUCCCCCUCCAUCAGGCAGUUUCCCAGACAUUACUCACCCGUCCGCCGCUCGUCACCCAGAGAGCAAGCUCUCCUGUGCUACCGCUCGACUUGCAUGUGUUAGGCCUGCCGCC